AGUGAACGCUGGCGGUAGGCCUAACACAUGCCAGUCGAACGGCAGCACAGUAAGAGCUUGCUCUUACGGGUGGCGAGUGGCGGACGGGUGAGGAAUACAUCGGAAUCUACUUUUUCGUGGGGGAUAACGUAGGGAAACUUACGCUAAUACCGCAUACGACCUACGGGUGAAAGCAGGGGAUCUUCGGACCUUGCGCGAUUGAAUGAGCCGAUGUCGGAUUAGCUAGUUGGCGGGGUAAAGGCCCACCAAGGCGACGACCCGUAGCUGGUCUGAGAGGAUGAUCAGCCACACUGGAACUGAGACACGGUCCAGACUCCCACGGGAGGCAGCAGUGGGGAAUAUUGGACAAUGGGCGCAAGCCUGAUCCAGCCAUACCGCGUGGGUGAAGAAGGCCUUCGGGUUGUAAAGCCCUUUUGUUGGGAAAGAAAAGCAGCAGGUUAAUACCCCGCUGUUCUGACGGUACCCAAAGAAUAAGCACCGGCUAACUUCGUG
rnacentral:rRNA from 1 species